UGGUCAUUUAGAGGAAGUAAAAGUCGUAACAAGGUCUCCGUAGGUGAACCUGCGGAGGGAUCAUUACUGAGUGAGGGCUCACGCCCGACCUCCAACCCUUUGUGAACACAUCUUGUUGCUUCGGGGGCGACCCUGCCGGCACUACGUCGCCGGGCGCCCCCGAAGGUCUCCAAACACUGCAUCUUUGCGUCGGAGUUUAAACAAAUUAAACAAAACUUUCAACAACGGAUCUCUUGGUUCUGGCAUCGAUGAAGAACGCAGCGAAAUGCGAUAAGUAAUGUGAAUUGCAGAAUUCAGUGAAUCAUCGAAUCUUUGAACGCACAUUGCGCCCUUUGGUAUUCCGAAGGGCAUGCCUGUUCGAGCGUCAUUUCACCACUCAAGCCUGGCUUGGUAUUGGGCGUCGCGGCUUCGCGCGCCUUAAAGUCUCCGGCUGAGCCAUUCGUCUCUAAGCGUUGUGGAUUUUCUAAUUCGCUUCGGAGUGCGGGUGGCCGCGGCCGUUAAAUCUUUCUCAAGGUUGACCUCGGAUCAGGUAGGGAUACCCGCUGAACUUAAGCAUAUCAAU
rnacentral:rRNA from 1 species